AUUGAACGCUGGCGGCAUGCCUUACACAUGCAAGUCGAACGGCAGCGGACCUUCGGGUGCCGGCGAGUGGCGAACGGGUGAGUAAUGCAUCGGAACGUGCCAUUGAGUGGGGGAUAACGUAGCGAAAGUUACGCUAAUACCGCAUAUUCUGUGAGCAGGAAAGCAGGGGACCGCAAGGCCUUGCGCUCUUUGAGCGGCCGAUGUCAGAUUAGCUAGUUGGUGAGGUAAAGGCUUACCAAGGCGACGAUCUGUAGCGGGUCUGAGAGGAUGAUCCGCCACACUGGAACUAAGACACGGUCCAGACUCCUACGGGAGGCAGCAGUGGGGAAUUUUGGACAAUGGGCGCAAGCCUGAUCCAGCCAUGCCGCGUGAGUGAAGAAGGCCUGGUU
rnacentral:rRNA from 1 species